rnacentral:rRNA from 1 species
GAUCAAAUCAAGCGCGAAAAGGGCGUUUGGUGAAUGCCUUGGCAGUAAGAGGCGAUGAAAGACGUGAUACUCUGCGAUAAGCCAUGGGGAGCUGAGAAUAGGCUUUGAUCCAUGGAUUUCUGAAUGGGGCAACCCACCUGAUACUUUGUUAUUACUGCUCUUAGGAGCAGCUAAUAAUGAGGUAAACCAGGUAUUUAUAGACUGAAUACAUAGGUUUAUAAAAGCAAACCCGGGGAACUGAAACAUCUAAGUACCCGGAGGAAAGGAAAUCAAUUGAUACUCCCCUAGUAGCGGCGAGCGAACGGGGACCAGCCGAGCCGUAAUUGUGAUUAGAACGUGUUGGAAAGCACGGCCAUAGCGGGUGACAGCCCCGUAUAAGAAGCAUGAUCGGACGUAUUAAGUAGGGCGGAACACGUGAAAUUCUGUCUGAAGAUCGGAGGACCACCUUCGAAGGCUAAGUACUCCUUACUGACCGAUAGUGAACCAGUACCGUGAGGGAAAGGUGAAAAGCACCCCGACGAGGGGAGUGAAACAGUACCUGAAACCGAACGCCUACAAUCAGUCGGAGCUUGACUGGACUCUAAUAACAAUCUGCUUCAUCACAGUGAAAAAACAAAUCACUGAGGGAUUAGCAUGUCGGAUUUAGCAUUUAUAACGGACGGAACGUUUGCCGUAUUAACAUUGGUCGCAGGACUGAUUGAUAUGAGCGUUAACCACUGUCCGUAUAACGGUUGCCUCGCUCAAAACGAGGUGCAGUCAUAUGCUAGUCUUUCAGCCGGCCAGACCGUCUUUCAAGACGAUCAUGUUGGCGAAGAGAUUUAUUUUCGACGGGAUACAAGCGUUGCAAGCGGCCCGUUUCAGUGGAUUUAUGGCUUCUCUGCCACCACUGACGGAGAGCUUUGGGGCGGUGUAGGCCAAGCCUACACUCUCUCGGACAGCCGCAGCGGAAUGUUUGUACAGCUUCACACAAUGGCAGGGCUUUAUGCACCUGGCAGUGGCGUGGAUCUGGGUGGCCCGAUCGAAUUCAGAUCCGGACUUGAAGUCGGAUAUCAGACACCCAAAGGCAUACGCCUUGGACUGUCUGUCGAUCACAGAUCGAAUGCCGGCCUCUACAGCAGCAACCCCGGUUUGGAAACGGUUCAAUUCCGCGUUUCCAUCCCGACAAAUUGAUUGUUAUCAGUGUCCAGUCUUGUGACGGCGUACCUUUUGUAUAAUGGGUCAUCGACUUGGUCUCACGUGCAAGCUUAAGCCGUUAGGUGUAGGCGCAGCGAAAGCGAGUCUUAAUAGGGCGUCGAGUUCGUGGGAUCAGACCCGAAACCGAGUGAUCUAGGCAUGGCCAGGCUGAAGGUAAGGUAACACUUACUGGAGGGCCGAACCCACAUCCGUUGAAAAGGAUCGGGAUGAGCUGUGCCUAGGGGUGAAAGGCCAAUCAAACUCGGAGAUAGCUGGUUCUCUGCGAAAUCUAUUUAGGUAGAGCGUCAUCCGAAUACCCUCGGGGGUAGAGCACUGGAUGGGUAAUGGGGCCCCACAGGCUUACUGAUCCUAACCAAACUCCGAAUACCGAGGAGUACUAGAUGGCAGACACACGGCGAAUGCUAACGUCCGUCGUGAAGAGGGAAACAACCCUGACCUCCAGCUAAGGCCCCUAAUUCAUGGCUAAGUGGGAAAGCAGGUGGGACGACCAAAACAACCAGGAAGUUGGCUUAGAAGCAGCCAUCUUUUAAAGAUAGCGUAACAGCUCACUGGUCUAAUUAAGUUGUCCUGCGGCGAAGAUGUAACGGGGCUCAAGCCAUGAGCCGAAGCUGAGGAUGCCGUAAGGCAUGGUAGCAGAGCGUAGUGUGACAUAACUCCUAGUCUCUUUAGCCACUUAGGUGGUUCCGGAGACAAGGAGUUUUCUGUGAAGCCGGCGCGUGAGCGAUCCGGUGGAGAGAUCACUAGUGAGAAUGAUGACAUGAGUAGCGACAAAGAGUGUGAGAGACACUCUCGCCGAAAGUCCAAGGGUUCCUGCUUAAAGCUAAUCUGAGCAGGGUAAGCCGACCCCUAAGGCGAGGCCGAAAGGCGUAGUCGAUGGGAACCAGGUUAAUAUUCCUGGGCCAGGAGGAUGUGACGGAUCGUGAAGGUUGUUCACCCUUAUUGGAUUGGGUGGGCCGCUGAUCGGUUCCAGGAAAUAGCCCUCCAUUAGAUCGUACCCUAAACCGACACAGGUGGACUGGUAGAGAAUACCAAGGCGCUUGAGAGAACUAUGUUGAAGGAACUCGGCAAAAUACCUCCGUAAGUUCGCGAGAAGGAGGCCCGGUUCCUAGGCAACUAGGGGCUGGGGGCACAAACCAGGGGGUGGCGACUGUUUAUUAAAAACACAGGGCUCUGCGAAGUCGCAAGACGACGUAUAGGGUCUGACGCCUGCCCGGUGCCUGAAGGUUAAAAGGAGAGGUGAGAGCCUUGAAUUGAAGCCCAGGUAAACGGCGGCCGUAACUAUAACGGUCCUAAGGUAGCGAAAUUCCUUGUCGGGUAAGUUCCGACCUGCACGAAUGGCGUAACGACUUCCCCGCUGUCUCCAACAUAGACUCAGCGAAAUUGAAUUACCUGUCAAGAUGCAGGUUUCCCGCGGUUAGACGGAAAGACCCCGUGCACCUUUACUACAGCUUCGCACUGGCAUCAGGCACGAUAUGUGCAGGAUAGGUGGUAGGCUUUGAAGCAGGAACGCUAGUUUCUGUGGAGCCUUCCUUGAGAUACCACCCUUAUCUUGCUUGAUGUCUAACCGCGGUCCGUUAUCCGGAUCCGGGACCCUGCGUGGCGGGUAGUUUGACUGGGGCGGUCGCCUCCUAAAGCGUAACGGAGGCGCGCGAAGGUUGGCUCAGAGCGGUCGGAAAUCGCUCGUUGAGUGCAAUGGCAGAAGCCAGCCUGACUGCGAGACUGACAAGUCGAGCAGAGUCGAAAGACGGCCAUAGUGAUCCGGUGGUCCCGAGUGGAAGGGCCAUCGCUCAACGGAUAAAAGGUACGCCGGGGAUAACAGGCUGAUACUGCCCAAGAGUCCAUAUCGACGGCAGUGUUUGGCACCUCGAUGUCGGCUCAUCUCAUCCUGGGGCUGGAGCAGGUCCCAAGGGUACGGCUGUUCGCCGUUUAAAGAGGUACGUGAGCUGGGUUUAGAACGUCGUGAGACAGUUCGGUCCCUAUCUUCCGUGGGUGUAGGAUACUUGAGAGGAGUUGCCCCUAGUACGAGAGGACCGGGGUGAACGAUCCACUGGUGGACCAGUUGUUAUGCCAAUAGCAGUGCUGGGUAGCUACGAUCGGAAAGGAUAACCGCUGAAGGCAUCUAAGCGGGAAGCCCCCCUCAAAACAAGGUAUCCCUGAGAGCCGAGGUAGACCACCUCGUCGAUAGGCCAGAGAUGUAAGUGCAGUAAUGCAUUCAGUUGACUGGUACUAAUUGCUCGAUAGGCUUGAUUUGAUCCAG